UGCUAUACUGCAGUCGUACGCUUUUUCUUUCACCGGAGCUUGCUCCACCGAAAGAAAAGGAGUGGCGAACGGGUGAGUAACACGUGGGUAACCUGCCCAUCAGAAGGGGAUAACACUUGGAAACAGGUGCUAAUACCGUAUAACAAUCGAAACCGCAUGGUUUUGAUUUGAAAGGCGCUUUCGGGUGUCGCUGAUGGAUGGACCCGCGGUGCAUUAGCUAGUUGGUGAGGUAACGGCUCACCAAGGCCACGAUGCAUAGCCGACCUGAGAGGGUGAUCGGCCACAUUGGGACUGAGACACGGCCCAAACUCCUACGGGAGGCAGCAGUAGGGAAUCUUCGGCAAUGGACGAAAGUCUGACCGAGCAACGCCGCGUGAGUGAAGAAGGUUUUCGGAUCGUAAAACUCUGUUGUUAGAGAAGAACAAGGAUGAGAGUAACUGUUCAUCCCUUGACGGUAUCUAACCAGAAAGCCACGGCUAACUACGUGCCAGCAGCCGCGGUAAUACGUAGGUGGCAAGCGUUGUCCGGAUUUAUUGGGCGUAAAGCGAGCGCAGGCGGUUUCUUAAGUCUGAUGUGAAAGCCCCCGGCUCAACCGGGGAGGGUCAUUGGAAACUGGGAGACUUGAGUGCAGAAGAGGAGAGUGGAAUUCCAUGUGUAGCGGUGAAAUGCGUAGAUAUAUGGAGGAACACCAGUGGCGAAGGCGACUCUCUGGUCUGUAACUGACGCUGAGGCUCGAAAGCGUGGGGAGCAAACAGGAUUAGAUACCCUGGUAGUCCACGCCGUAAACGAUGAGUGCUAAGUGUUGGAGGGUUUCCGCCCUUCAGUGCUGCAGCUAACGCAUUAAGCACUCCGCCUGGGGAGUACGACCGCAAGGUUGAAACUCAAAGGAAUUGACGGGGGCCCGCA
rnacentral:rRNA from 1 species